GGAUGUGAGGUCAUCUGGCUGCGACACCUGUCACCCCAUUGAUCGCCAGGGCUGAUCCGGCUGAUCUGGCUAGCUAGGCGGGUGUCCCCUUCCUCCCUCACUAUUCCAUUUACGUCCCUCCUGAAGCUGUGUGCUCGGUCGAAGAGGACGGCCUUCCCCGAAUAAAAUUUUAUAAAAAUUCAUUCCUUUA
rnacentral:snRNA from 1 species